rnacentral:rRNA from 1 species
CCUACGGGAGGCAGCAGUGAGGAAUAUUGGUCAAUGGACGAGAGUCUGAACCAGCCACGUAGCGUGAAGGAUGACUGCCCUAUGGGUUGUAACCUUCUUUUAUAAAGGAAUAAAACGAGGCACGUGUGCCUUUUUGCAUGUACUUUAUGAAUAAGGAUCGGCUAACUCCGUGCCAGCAGCCGCGUUAAUACGGAGGAUCCGAGCGUUAUCCGGAUUUAUUGGGUUUAAAGGGAGCGUAGAUGGGUUGUUAAGUCAGUUGUGAAAGUUUGCGGCUCAACCGUAAAAUUGCAAUUGAUACUGGCAGUCUUGAGUACAGUUGAGGUAGGCGGAAUUCGAGGUGUAGCGGUGAAAUGCUUAGAUAUCACGAAGAACCCCGAUUGCGAAGGCAGCUUACUAAACUGUGACUGACAUUGAUGCUCGAAAGUGUGGGUAUCAAACAGGAUUAGAUACCCUUGUAGUC